rnacentral:rRNA from 1 species
AACGAACGCUGGCGGCAUGCCUAACACAUGCAAGUCGAACGAGACCUUCGGGUCUAGUGGCGCACGGGUGCGUAACGCGUGGGAACCUGCCUUUAGGUUCGGAAUAACUCAGAGAAAUUUGAGCUAAUACCGGAUAAUGUCUUCGGACCAAAGAUUUAUCGCCUUUAGAUGGGCCCGCGUUGGAUUAGCUAGUUGGUGGGGUAAAGCCUACCAAGGCGACGAUCCAUAGCUGGUCUGAGAGGAUGAUCAGCCACACUGGGACUGAGACACGGCCCAGACUCCUACGGGAGGCAGCAGUGGGGAAUAUUGGACAAUGGGCGAAAGCCUGAUCCAGCAAUGCCGCGUGAGUGAUGAAGGCCUUAGGGUUGUAAAGCUC